CAGUAGCCGCGGUAAUACGAAGGGUGCAAGCGUUACUCGGAAUUACUGGGCGUAAAGCGUGCGUAGGUGGUGGUUUAAGUCCGUUGUAAAAGCCCUGGGCUCAACCUGGGAAUUGCAGUGGAUACUGGGUCACUAGAGUGUGGUAGAGGAUAGUGGAAUUUCCGGUGUAGCAGUGAAAUGCGUAGAGAUCGGAAGGAACAUCUGUGGCGAAGGCGACUAUCUGGGCCAACACUGACACUGAGGCACGAAAGCGUGGGGAGCAAACAGGAUUAAAUACCCGAGUAGUCCCUGUCUCUUAUAC
rnacentral:rRNA from 1 species